UAGAGUUUGAUCAUGGCUCAGGAUGAACGCUGGCGGCGUGCCUAAUACAUGCAAGUCGAACGAGGUGCCUUUGUAGCAAUACGAGGGUAUCCUAGUGGCGAACGGGUGAGUAACGCGUUGGUGACCUACCCCGAAGUGUGGGAUAACAGUCCGAAAGGACUGCUAAUACCGCAUGCGGUCAUCGGCUUCAGAAACCGAUGUCCAAAGCAGCAAUGCGCUUUGGGAGGGACCUGCGUCCCAUCAGCUAGUUGGUAGGGUAACGGCCUACCAAGGCGACGACGGGUAGGGGACCUGAGAGGGUGACCCCCCACAAUGGAACUGAAAUACGGUCCAUACACCUACGGGUGGCAGCAGUAGGGAAUAUUGCACAAUGGGCGAAAGCCUGAUGCAGCAACGCCGCGUGCACGAUGAAGGUCUUCGGAUCGUAAAGUGCUUUUCUGGGAGAUGAGAAAGGACAGUAUCCCAGGAAUAAGUCUCGGCUAACUACGUGCCAGCCGCCGCGGUAAUAC
rnacentral:rRNA from 1 species